GCCCCGGUGGCCUAGUGGUUGGAGUGUCCGCUUCAGAUGCAGGAAAUCGUGGGUUCUAUCCCCAGCUGAGUCA